UAGAAGAAAAAAAAACUGAAUCCAGAAAUGUACAAUGACUGCCAACAGCAGCCUCCUAGGUAGUGUGUGAUACCUGUUGUCUGCGUGGGUCGUCCUAAGGGACCUUGAAGAUAGUA
rnacentral:snoRNA from 1 species